CAGUCGCCACGGUAAUACGGAGGAUCCAAGCGUUAUCCGGAUUUAUUGGGUUUAAAGGGUGCGUAGGCGGCCUAUUAAGUCAGGGGUGAAAGACGGUAGCUUAACUAUCGCAGUGCCUUUGAUACUGAUGGGCUUGAAUACACUUGAGGUAGGCGGAAUGUGACAAGUAGCGGUGAAAUGCAUAGAUAUGUCACAGAACACCAAUUGCGAAGGCAGCUUACUAAAGUGUCAUUGACGCUGAGGCACGAAAGCGUGGGGAUCAAACAGGAUUAGAUACCCGCGUAGUCCCUGUCUCUUAUAA
rnacentral:rRNA from 1 species